AAGAAGGUGACAGAUUGGUUAUGUGAUUAACUUGAAAUUAAUCUAGUGGAGUUCGAUUCUCUCUCUUCUUG
rnacentral:tRNA from 1 species